rnacentral:rRNA from 1 species
GGACUACCGGGGUAUCUAAUCCUGUUUGCUCCCCACGCUUUCGCACCUCAGUGUCAGUAUCAGUCCAGGAAGUCGCCUUCGCCACUGAUGUUCCUUCCGAUAUCUAUGCAUUUCACCGCUACACCGGAAAUUCCUCUUCCCUCUACCGUACUCUAGUCAACCAGUUUUGAAUGACACUCCCAGGUUAAGCCCGGGGAUUUCACAUCCAACUUAAUUAACCACCUACGUGCUCUUUACGCCCAGUAAUUCCGAUUAACGCUUGCACCCUCUGUAUUACCGCGGCUGCUGGCAC